rnacentral:rRNA from 1 species
CAAUAGCGUAUAUUAAAGUUGUUGCAGUUAAAAAGCUCGUAGUUGGAUUUCUGUUUUGGAUGUCCGGUCCGCUCCCUCUGGGGGUGCGUACUUAUGGAUGUUCGAGGCAUUUUUUGUGAGGUCGCUUUUCUGCCAUUAAGUUGGUGGUUUUGCGGGCUUGCAUCGUUUACUGUGAAAAAAUUAGAGUGUUUAAAGCAGGCGUUUGCUCAUUUGAAUACAUUAGCAUGGAAUAAUAAGAUACGGCCUUGGUGGUCUAUUUUGUUGGUUUGCACACCAGGGUAAUGAUUAAUAGGGACAGUUGGGGGUAUUCAUAUUUCAGCGUCAGAGGUGAAAUUCUUGGAUCGCUGAAAGAUGAGCUUAGGCGAAAGCAUUUACCAAGGAUGUUUUCAUUAA